GUCUACGGCCAUGCCACCCUGAACAAGCCCGAUCCCUUCUGAUCUUGGAAGCUAAGCAGGGUCGGGCUUAGUUAGUACUUGGAUGGGAGACCACCUAGGAAGACUAGGUGCUGUAGGCA
rnacentral:rRNA from 1 species